rnacentral:lncRNA from 1 species
GGGGCCGCCCUCUCCGCGGCCCCUCUCCGAGGGGGGUGGCAGCGGCGUGCCGGACUCGGAGGCCGAGUGGAGGGCCCUGUUCCUCAUGGACUACGACCCCCUGAACCAGCUGCUGGUGUGCAUGGUGUGCGGGGAGCUGCAGCACUCCCAGAGCGCGGAGGGGGCGCGGUGCCACAUCGAGGAGGCCCACCCGGACUCCCUGGGCCUCUCCGCCCAGGACAGGAACCGCAUCCUGGCCGCCUGGGACGAGCAGGUGUCCCUGAGGGAGCGCUUCUUCACCAGCCAGCUGCAGCAGCACCAGGCCAGGCCAGAUGAGACAGAGGACCCCCCGGCCGAGAUCGAAGUUCUCGUGGACUCUGAUGAAGCGCCGGCCUCGAAAGACCGCCGCGCCGCGUCAAAGAACAAGUCCAAAAACACAGGUAGGAGAACCAGCAGGGGGACGAGAAAACCUCUUCUUCAGUGUAGUGCAGGAACCCUGAGGAAGACUUUUUUGCAGAAGAAGAGUUUCUUGCUUGACAUGACUUGAACCCUUGCACGCCGAAUCCUUAACCCUGAACCCUGCACUUUGAAUCCUGAAUCCUUAACCCCGAACCCUGAACUUUCAACCCUGAAGUUUGAAUUCUGAAUCCUUAACCCUGAACUUUCAACCCUGAACCCUGGACCUUUGAACCUUGAAUCUUUAACCCUUAACCCUGAACUUUCAACCCUGAACCCUGGACCUU